AUGUCUACUGUAGCUUACUCUGAUCAUGACGCCAAGCAAAGAAAUCUUGCAGAUUAUCACCCAAGCGUUUGGGGGGUUUCUUCCUUCAGUAUGCUUCAGAAACCAUGGAACUUGAUCAGAAUCUUGCAUCACAAAUUGAUACGUUGAAAGAUGAAGUGAGAAACAUGCUUGUCUCAAAGACUGAGAUGCCCUUGACAAAAGUCAAAUUGAUUGAUUCAAUAUGUCGUUUGGGUGUUGGUUAUCAUUUUGAAAAAGAGAUUGAUGAAAUUUUGCAACAUAUUCACAAAAGUUAUGUUGAAAAUGGAGAAAUAACGCUUGAAGACAACCUGUGCUCUCUUGCCAUGCUAUUUAGGGUGUUCAGGCAACAAGGACUUCACGUUUCACCAAAUGUGUUCAACAAAUUUAAAGACAAGCAAGGAAACUUUAAUGAAAAUCUUAGCACGGAUGUUGAGGGGAUGUUAAGCUUGUAUGAAGCAUCACAUAUGAUGGUUCAUGAAGAUGACAUUUUAGAAGAAGCAUUAAAUUUCACUUCAACUCACCUCGAGUCCAUUGCCUCUCAAUCGAGCCCUUCACUUGCUGCACAAAUCGAAUAUACCUUAAAGCAGGCUCUCCACAAAAACAUACCAAGGCUAGAGGCACGACACUACAUUUCUAUCUAUGAGAAAGAUCCUACCUGUGAUGAAGUUCUACUCACUUUCGCAAAAUUGGAUUUCAAUUUACUCCAAUCCCUACAUCAAAAAGAGUUUGGAAACAUUUCCAAAUGGUGGAAGGAGUUGGACUUCUCUACCAAACUACCUUAUGCAAGAGAUAGGAUCGCGGAAUGUAGCUUUUGGGUUUUGACUGCAUUUUUUGAACCCCAAUAUUCUCAAGCAAGAAAAAUGAUGAUUAAAGUAAUCACCCUACUUUCAAUCAUUGAUGAUACAUAUGAUGCAUAUGGAACAAUUGAUGAACUGGAACUUUUUACCAAGGCAGUUGAAAGGUGGGAUAUUAGCAGCUUGGACGAACUUCCAGACUACAUGAAACCUAUCUAUAGAUCAUUCUUAACAAUUUACGAAGAAAUAGAGAAAGAAAUGAGAAAAGAAGGAAGGAUAUAUACCCUUGACUACUACAAAAUUGAAUUCAAAAAGUCAGUGCAAGCAUUUAUGACAGAGGCGAGAUGGCUGAAUGAAAACCAUAUACCAACAACAGAAGAGUACAUGCGCAUAUCAAAAAAAUCAGGUGCUUACCCUUUGCUGAUAUUAACCUCUUACAUUGGUAUGGGUGACAUAGCCACAAAGGAGAUCUUCAAUUGGGUAUCAAAUGAGCCAAGAAUUGUUAACGCCGCUGCAACUCUUUGCAGGCUAAUGGAUGAAAUUGUUUCCAGCGAGUUUGAACAGAAAAGAGGACAUGUUUGCUCAUUGUUAGAUUGUUAUAUGAAGCAAUUUGAUAUGUCGAGAGAAGCUGCUAUUCAAGAAUGCAAAAAUAGAAUGACAAUUGUUUGGAAAGAUAUAAAUGAAGAAUGUCUUAGGCCAACCGAAGUUCCGAUGCCUUUUAUGACUCGUGUUCUUAAUCUUUCGCGUUUUAUGGAUGUUAUUUACAAAAACAAAGAUAACUACACGGAUUCUGACGGACUAAUGAAGACAUGUAUUAAAGAAGUGUUGGUUGAUCCUGUUCCAAUUUGAGCACCGAGGUUUUAGUGGAUGUUUGGAUUCACAUUAAGUUUGAAAAAUCCAAGUGGCACAUGGAUUUUCUUAAAGUUCAAAAGUGGAGUAAUUGCCAACAAGUAUAUGACACGCCUUGAUAUUAUGAAGCUCAAAAUAAUUCAAAUCAAUUAUUAUUUUUUUUUUUUAUGUUCUUUAUAUUUCUACUUUGAAUAAGCAUUCAAUUUUUGUAUUUCGUGUGUGGGAUUUCACUUUCAUGAAUAAAAACAAACUAGAUCGUACAUCCAUGCGUCGUGCGGGUGAGUUGUAUGGUAAUGUGUUAUCUAUACUAUAUAUCUAUACUAUAUAUAUAGAAAACUACCCCUUUCAGCA